UACGUAGGCAGCGAGCGUUGUUCGGAAUUACUGGGCGUAAAGAGUGUGUAGGCGGUGCUCCCAGUCUGUUGUGAAAUCUCCCGGCUUAACUGGGAGGGUGCAGCGGAAACUAGAGUGCUAGAGGGUGGGAGAGGUAAGCGGAAUUCCUGGUGUAGCGGUGAAAUGCGUAGAUAUCAGGAGGAACACCUGUGGUGUAGACGGCUUUCUGGACCAUAGCUGACGCUGAGACACGAAAGCGUGGGUAGCAAACAGG
rnacentral:rRNA from 1 species